CGAGGUCACGCACAGCCCCUCUGACUUCCGCUGGGGCGCCCCACGCGGCUCAGCUCAGCUCAGGGCACACCCUUGCUGGGCGCGCUGUCGAGGUCUCGGAUCCCUGCCUUCUGCCGCCCUUGAACGGAAUGGUUCCCUCCCGGGUCCAGACCGGGAGAUGGGCGGCAGCAGUCAGGGCGGCCCAGAGGCGCCCUCGUGUGGACAGCCCGGGACGGCCUCGGAGUCCUGAGUCCGCGAGCACGCGCGCGGCCCUUUACGUGCACUGGCCCUAUUGCGAGAAGCGCUGCAGCUACUGCAACUUCAAUAAGUACAUCCCCCGCGGCGUGGAGGAGGGAGCCUUGCGGAACUGCCUGGUGACCGAGGCGCGGACGCUGCUGCGGCUCAGCGGGGUGCAAAGGGUGGAGUCUGUGUUCUUUGGUGGGGGAACCCCGAGUCUGGCCAGUCCUCACACGGUGGCUGCUGUCCUGGAGGCCGUGGCACAGGAAGCCCAUUUGCCUGCAGAUUCAGAAGUCACAUUGGAGGCUAACCCCACUUCAGCCCCAGGUUCCAGGCUGGCAGCUUUUGGAGCAGCAGGAGUCAACAGGUUGUCCAUUGGUCUGCAGUCCCUGGAUGACACGGAGCUGCAGCUGCUGGGCCGGACUCACUCAGCCAGCGACGCUUUGCAGACUCUGGCGGAAGCCAGGCGCCUUUUCCCUGGCAGGGUGUCCGUGGAUUUGAUGCUGGGGCUGCCGGCACAGAAGGUGGAGCCGUGGCUUCAACAGCUUCAGAAACUGCUGCACCACUGUGAUGACCACCUCUCCCUCUACCAGCUGACCCUGGAACGCGGCACCUCACUCUUUGCUCAGGUGCAGCAGGGCACCCUCCCAGCGCCUGACCCCGACCUGGCUGCUGAGAUGUACCAGGAGGGCAGGACCGUCCUUCGAGACGCUGGCUUCCGCCAGUAUGAGGUCUCCAACUUUGCCCGGAACGGGGCGCUCAGUACCCACAACCGGACUUACUGGCAGUGUGGUCAGUACCUUGGCAUUGGGCCUGGAGCCCAUGGACGAUUCAUGCCCCAGGGAGCUGGAGGCCACACCCGGGAAGCACGGAUCCAGACCCUGGAGCCAGACAACUGGAUGAAAGAGGUGAUGCUUUUUGGUCACGGCACCCGGAAGCGCGUCCCCUUGGGCAAGCUAGAGCUGCUGGAGGAGGUUUUGGCUAUGGGGCUGCGCACUGAUGUGGGGGUCACUCAUCAGCACUGGCAGCGGUUUGAGCCCCCACUGACCCUGUGGGACCUGUUUGGAGCCAGCAGGGAGCUGAAGGAGCUGCUAGCACAGCGCCUGAUGCUGCUAGACCACAGGGGUCUCCGGUGUUCCUGGGACGGCCUAGCUGUUCUGGACUCGCUGUUGCUGAUACUCCUGCCUCAACUCCAAGAGGCCUGGCGGCACAGGACUCCCUCAUCUGUGUCAGGAGGAUGACCAGCUGUUCCUCAUCAUAGGGCUUCAUCGUAGGGCAGCACCAGUUGGACUUGGAAGGCUGAGCCAGCAUGGUGGGCAUCUCUCCUGUGCCCGCAGAAUGCAAACUCACUGCUAGCUGAAGAGAAUGCUCCACUCCGAUCCUCUGCGUCCACCUCCCGAGUGCUGCCAUUGCAGGCAUGCGCCACCAUACCUGUUUGUCGGAGAUGCUGGACUUCACGUUGCAAGGCAGACGCUACCAACUACCUUUUCAGCCCUCUCAGGUUCAGUGUUUUUUUAAAUUAGAUUUCUCUAUUUUACUCUGUGUAUAUAAGUAUUUUGUGGUCAUGCCUGAAUGUGCAGCAUGCGCAUGCCUGUUGGCUCCCCUGAAACUGGGGUUAUGGGUGGUUGUAAAACCAUGAUGUAGGUGCAGGAAACUGAACCUGGGUCCUCUGCCAGAGCAGCAAAUGCUCUUAACUGUUGACCCAUCUCUCCAGCACCCCAGGUUAAAUAUUACACAGCUGCAUCUUUGCUUUGAAAUUAAGGAGCUCAUCAUCUGUAGUGUGAUCCCUUGAGACCAAGGUGUGUGGGGGGGGUGGUGGUGGUGAGGGUCCCAUCCCUGAUAAUCAUUUGACCAGUGAUUUUGGCACUUACUGAUUCUUUGCCAAGCCAUUUAUUAAUUUAUUUAUUCUUUUUCCCCCCAAGACAGGGUUUCUC